rnacentral:rRNA from 1 species
UGGGGAAUUUUGGACAAUGGGCGAAAGCCUGAUCCAGCAAUGCCGCGUGUGUGAAGAAGGCCUUCGGGUUGUAAAGCACUUUUGUCCGGAAAGAAAUCCUUGGCUCUAAUACAGUCGGGGGAUGACGGUACCGGAAGAAUAAGCACCGGCUAACUACGUGCCAGCAGCCGCGGUAAUACGUAGGGUGCAAGCGUUAAUCGGAAUUACUGGGCGUAAAGCGUGCGCAGGCGGUUUGCUAAGACCGAUGUGAAAUCCCCGGGCUCAACCUGGGAACUGCAUUGGUGACUGCAAGGCUAGAGUAUGGCAGAGGGGGGUAGAAUUCCACGUGUAGCAGUGAAAUGCGUAGAGAUGUGGAGGAAUACCGAUGGCGAAGGCAGCCCCCUGGGCCAAUACUGACGCUCAUGCACGAAAGCGUGGGGAGCAAACAGGAUUAGAUACCCUGGUAGUCCACGCCCUAAACGAUGUCAACUAGUUGUUGGGGAUUCAUUUCCUUAGUAACGUAGCUAACGCGUGAAGUUGACCGCCUGGGGAGUACGGUCGCAAGAUUAAAACUCAAAGGAAUUGACGGGGUCAUA